rnacentral:rRNA from 1 species
UACGUAGGGUGCAAGCGUUGUCCGGAAUUAUUGGGCGUAAAGAGCGCGUAGGCGGUCUGUCGCGUCGGCUGUGAAAACCCGGGGCUCAACCCCGGGCCUGCAGUCGAUACGGGCAGACUAGAGUGCGGUAGGGGAGACUGGAAUUCCUGGUGUAGCGGUGAAAUGCGCAGAUAUCAGGAGGAACACCGGUGGCGAAGGCGGGUCUCUGGGCCGUAACUGACGCUGAGGAGCGAAAGCGUGGGGAGCGAACAGG